rnacentral:hammerhead_ribozyme from 1 species
CACUAGUCAAGAGCUGUUGUUACUCUCCUAAUGAGUCCAAGGCAGGACGAAACUAGUA